GUGAUGAUGAGAAAAUCUACGAGGCCUGGGACUGUCCCCAAGUUCAGGCUAUCCAUCCCUACACAGCCCAGCAGCAUGAUGAAUUGACCUUGGAAGAAUGCGAUGUCAUCAACGUCCACAAAAAGAUGGCAGACGGCUGGUAUGAAGGUGAACGAAUACGCGAUGGGGAGCAUGGCUGGUUCCCAUCCUCAUACACUAUGGAAAUUGUCAGCGAACAUCUACGUGCCAAGAACCUCAAGAUGCGUUAUCGCCUCAUGGUUGUUUCCAAGGCGAUGUACGACGAGCAGCACCAAAAAGAAAAGAAAGACAAAGAUAAGAAAGACAAAAAAGGGAAGAAAUGAUGUACAGCUUGUAAUUGGACCAAACAAUAUAAGGAGCAGACUGAUAUAGUAUGUCAUAUAGAAGUAUGUGCCCCAUAUACUCAAAGGCUCACUGAAGAUACAUUUUUGCUUGAAUAGAUAAAACCAAUCGCAAGAGCUGAUAUGAAAAACUUAAUUAAGCAAAAUGUCCCAGUUUGAUAUUAUUAAAGAAUACAGGAGAUGGUGAUUACAAUAUUUGGGAGCAAAAAGAUGGCAUGCAUUCACUGAAAUGAAUUUGCCACAAAAUGUACAAAGCUUGUCAGUAAAGGACACCCUCUGCUUACACAAGUCUCUAGCUUAGACUUCUAAGAAGUUGAAAAAAGCAUUCCCAAAAUUGUCUUCCAACAGUCACAGAUGGUGUUAUGUCUGUGUUGAUUUGUCUGAGAGAAAUGGUUUAAAAAGAAGCAUUAACUAGUAGUUAAUUAUUUUUUAGAAUUUUUUCAUGACGUCUGAUAAUUAUCUCUAUGUGGUUAUUCCAUUCACUGCCUAUCCCCACCCUAUCAGUGAGUUGAUAAAACAACUAUUAUGUAAAUAAAAAAUGAGAUUGUUGCCAAUUGUACAUAAAAUGGCUUAAUUACAUGCAGGGGUAUCAUUCCACUUGAGCUUUGUGUAACAUAUCUAUUUGAAGAAUAUAUGCAGUGAAAAGUACAGCUUUAAGUAUAUAUCUCUAUUGAACAGUUAUUCUGUUUGAACAACUGCUGGCCAGUGACAUCACACUCGUGGUAGAUGUGAUGUCACACAGGCAACAUGUUUUUAAAUCUGUGACAUCACACUUGUAAUAGAUGUGAUGUCACCCUGGCAUCAUGUUUUGUAAGCUGUGACAUCACACUUUGGUAGAUGUGAUGUCACACUGGCAUCAUGUUUUUGUUAGCAAUGACAUCACACAUCGGUAGGUUUGACAUCACAGAUGUGAUAAAUGUGACAUCAUACUAGCGUCAUUAUUUUGUUAGCAAUGACAUCAAACUUUUGUUUACUUGACCGUCAUAGAUGCAUCAAAGACCCAGUGUAUAUAAUUACUUAUAACUAUCACUGCUUUAGUGAGCCUUUAAUGUGAGGUACUGUAGCUUUUGCCACAUGUAUAUAUGAAUGUUUUGUAUGGUUAGAAACACUUCAUGGAAUUGGUUUUAAAAAGAUGCUCAUAAACUUCUUUGUUUUAGUUUAAGUUGUAGAUGCUUGUAAAGUUGAUUUUAAGAAAGCAUCGCUUAUUUUGUAUGUAUGUCUUGAAUUUGAACCAAACAUUCUGUAAAUUAAUUUCACUUAAUAUAAUUAUGUUUAUGUGUACCAAACAUAAUGUUCAUUCAUUGUUAAUAGUGCUUAGCUGUUUUUAGAAACAAUUUAUCUUUAAUGAGCUUGAUAUUUUGCCUAAAGUUUUGAUUACUCUACAUGUGUUAUAUACAUUUAUAUUAGAUGUAAAAAAAGUGGAAAUAGCUAUUAGAUGUAAUAUAUAAUUAUAUUUUGUGUUGUAUUAAACAGCCCUAGCAGUGCCUUUUUUGCAGAUUUGAAAAAAUAUUUUGCAAGUGUAAAUAGUUUUGAAGAAGUACAAUCAUAUCUUGUUAAUUAGUAAUUGGUUUUUAAUUUUACAGGCACAAAACUUGCACUAUUUCAAAUGAUAUAUAAAUGUCCCUAACUAUAUGCUACAGUCCCAGUUAAUACAUGUAUUCAUGAAAUCUCUUAUAUUAAUUUAUUUUUGAAUAUAAGAAGUUUAGAAACCAUUUUUGAACUAUAUUUUUUCCCUUCAUUUAU